GGUGUUUCCACAAACAAAAACAAUUAUAUUUUAUCGCCAUUCAAAGAACUUAGAGUCAGUUUAGUUAUUAUUGUAAGUUUACCAUUGUAAAGCGCUUUAGAAUAUUACUUCAUAGAUUUAAGCGCUAUAUUUAAAGUGUAUAUGCAAGGAAAAAUGAAAAAUUUUAAAUUUCGAAAUUUGGAAAGAAAUUACCUCCCUUAACUAGGUAAAAAUAUUUUUAGUUAGUAAAAGCGCUCUAAAAGUAUUGAAAAUGCCCUAAAAUGUACGACAAAUACAACUAUUUUGAAUCGUAACCUGAUGAAAGACUGGUAUCGAAAAUUCCGGCCUUGUGACGUAUGCAGUGUGACCACGGUUAAGGGUGUGACACAUCCAGUGUUUACUUGAAUGAAAACUACAAAAUAUCACUAAUCGCAAGACAGUAGCUUGUAUGACUUGUAUAUUUUUCCUUAAAAACGCAAAAAAUGUCCGAUAGCGAAAGCUUUGAAUCACAGACAGAUACAGAACAGUCAACACAUAACGAGGACGUUGUUGAGCCGCAAUCGUCUGUUGUACAGCCCUAUCAGUUCGAGCCAGUUGCUGAUAGUGACUAAUGACUAUGAGGAAGACGAAACAGGCGAAGACGGUCUUGAGGCGAGAUUUACGAAAACCGUAGCUGUUAGUUCAUGGUAAGGUUAACAAAGCAGUCUAAUAUCAAAGCGUUUCUCGAAUUAUUUAUUAGCGUGUUUCGUUUUAACAUGUGAAUUGAUUUUAGGUGCACAUGUGAGCAUUGUACUGAUUGUAGUGAUACCGGUGCUGUGACGAGAUUCUGGAAAUUAUAGCCAAAUUUACGUACGAUGGAAAAGACGCUGAAUGUAUUAUAUAGCACUGGCACUAUCCUGUUAUUACGCACCGAACACUCGACAGUAUAUUACCGCAAAUCAACAAGCAGAACUCAAGACGGGCAAAAUGAGUAAGUCAAAUUAAUUUCACUAAAUUUUGGUCAGUUUUCAUCAGUAUUUUCUAUAUAUAUUCGCAAUAAUCGCAAAUGGUUGUAUUUUGUAAGAUUUUGAAACGUGUAUUUUAAUCUAUCUAUUGCUUUGAAUAUUAAUAUUUUGAAAUAUAUAAACAAAAUGUGUAUAAUAGUACCGUCGUGUGUAACAGUGCAUUGAAGAUACCUUCGUGCAGUGGCGUAUAUCGGUGGAUAGUGAGAUGGAUAUUCGCCAUGCUUGGAUGGGAAAACUCUAGACCGCUUCCAGCAUGCCCCAAAUGAAAUCAGGAAGAGAUAUCCGUCUCAAAGCAACACUGGAUAUAAAUAAUCACAGCAGAGAACUGAGAACGUGAUAAAAAGUGUAUACUAUGUUACGUAAACCGAUACUGUAAAUUAUAAGUAUAAAUUAACCUAGUCAAAUAAAUGGUUCUUCACUCGGACUCUGUCGCGUGAGUAUGAUCGACUAAGAAGUAUAUAUAGUGCGCUCGGGCCUCGGUGGUUAAUACGCCUGUUGUGAAAACAUAAUUUUUUGACUGAUAAGGCCAGAAAGGAAUUAAUUACGGCCUAGGAUAAGUGACUAAGGAAUAAAUUGCGCGCAAACAGUAGAUAGAUACGGCACGUUUCAGCAAACGCAAAUGGAUGAAAACAUGACACACUUGAAGCGUAAACAAGCAACGAGCUUUCUGUAUGACGUGCGAACUGAGGUACUUUUGUACUUAUAUUCCUAAUAGUUUAUUGCGUUCUCGGUACACUCAACUUCGUUUACUUCAAUUAAUUUCAUUUCGCCUAUUCUGUCAUAGUACGGACUGUAUAAAUUCUAACUAUAUCCAACUAUCUACAAUGGACUAUAUAUAAAACGAAAAUAUCUACAUUAUGCCACAACUAACGACAUCUGAAACCUACACCGCUACUACAAAAUUGAUUUCGCAUUUCGGCGGCUUAUAAGCGAUAAAUCGUCGUAUGGUGAUAUCAUUGCAUUGAUUUACCAAUGUAUCGCAUCUACAUAAGGUAGAUUUAUUUGGAUUUUGUUUAAAUUAUCAAAAAAUCCCAAUUCAACGCAGUUGAAGCUACAUUGUUUAUAGUAUUUACAUAUAGGAAGAGUGCACUGUGUCACACUGCAUACGUCAUCAUGACCUCUUGGCCGCGCGAGGAAUUUCAUCAGCUAAAAUUUUCAUACCCAACUUUAAACGCAAAAUUCACAAACUUCUAGUUCGAAGUAUUCAACAAGGUUGGUAUUAAAAUGAUCAGAAAAGAUGAAAUUUUCAGAUAAUGCAAAAAUCACAAAAUUGAAAUUUUCAUUGCAUAUACACUUUAAAUACUCAGAUUAUUAUUAUUAUUAUUAUUUUAGUGGAUACUAUGGUAUUUACAUGAACAACACAAAAUUGAAUGAAAACUUUGGCACUAAUGGAGAAUUGUCAAUUGGAG
rnacentral:lncRNA from 1 species